CGUAAAGCGCGCGUAGGCGGUUUGUUAAGUGUGAUGUGAAAGCCCAGGGCUCAACCUUGGAACUGCAUCACAUACUGGCAGGCUAGAGUACGGUAGAGGGGGGUAGAAUUCCACGUGUAGCGGUGAAAUGCGUAGAGAUGUGGAGGAAUACCAGUGGCGAAGGCGGCCCCCUGGAUCGAUACUGACGCUGAGGUGCGAAAGCGUGGGGAGCAAACAGGAUUAGAUACCCUG
rnacentral:rRNA from 1 species